CCCCAUCUGCAGCAGGUGUCCGGUUGUCUUCAUUCUCCGCCAGCCUGGUUAAGUCAAUUCCUCCUUAACAUCUAAAAGAACCUAUUUAAUGAAGGAAGACGGGUUCACUUUGUGUUUAAUAUUAUUCUAUUGCUGUUGUUGUUUUUUUUAUAUCCUUCAAUUGGCGUCACGGAACAGGAUCCGCUCCAGGCCAAACUGGAACGGGUGGGAGGACAUCGGCCGUGGUCUGAGUGAACGGAGUUUGGACAAAAGCUGUGUGCACACAAAAACAAGUUUGACCUAGAGCCCACUAACUGGCCAUUAGGGGCUCUCUCUCUCGCUCUCGCUCUCUCUCUCUCUCUCUCUCUCUCUCUCUCUCUCUCUCUCUCUCUCUCUCAGGUUGUUGCUCUUUAACUCCUAGAACACGCCCUUGGCGAGGUGGGGGGAACUGGACCACCUUUCUGUGCCCCAUCAUCCUCUAUUAGACGACAUCCAAGCUAAGUAAACAUGUCUUGGCCCUUUCCCCCUGAAAUGACAGGCAGGCAAAGAUGUUGCGUCUUUGUUUGCUUCCUGGCCCUGGGUCUCAUUCCCAUUGGCAUAAUCCUGAUCUGUGAAGGGCCCCCGACACUUCUGACACCUUCAAGUUCAAAAGCUUCGCCCCCUUCUGACAGUCCCAAUCUGACAAAUGUAGCCCCUAGGGUCUUGCCCACCACUUCCUCUCCAGUUUUGCCCACGCCCGAUCCAUUUAGAAAGAAACGAGACACGGUUACCUCCUCGCCAACGGAUGAUGAAAACUCUGAUCGUGAGGGCGACGAACAUUAUCGUCUUUCUCUUGUUUAAAUGCUUCUAGAAUGGUUGUUUCUCUGUGGUGUUUUGUAUUAGGCUUGUUAUUAAUUGUUUCCCUCACCCACUUCCUCUUGAAGGAUAUAUCUGGUUGAACUGUGUCUGGUCGGGUUGUGAGGGUUAAGCGAUGUUCUCAGGGUCUCCGGACUUAAGCCUGAGCGAAUGUGUACUCCCACCAA
ensembl:lncRNA